ACCGUGUGCUUUACACAUCCUGAUUUCAACUUUGCUUUUGUUCUCUAGGGUGAAUAACUGCAUUGGAUUUUCUAACUACAAAUUCUUUCUACUGUUCUUAGCCUAUUCUUUGUUGUAUUGCUUGUAUAUUGCUGCAACAGUCUUCAAGUAUUUCAUUAAGUAUUGGACAGGUGAGCUGACUAACAGACGUUCCAAAUUUCACGUCCUUUUCCUUCUCUUUGUGGCGGUCACGUUCUUUGUAAGAUGGCGGCCAGGGUGGGGACACAUGGAGGCGAUGCUCUGCCAGGCCCACGGUCGCAGGACGGGCAGCUGGCAGUGGCUCCUGGCUCAUCUGCUGCCCGGAGCCUGGCCAGGACAGCAGCUGCCUCAGCCUUUGCAGCAGCUGCAGAAAUGGGUUUGUGUUCUCUGGAUGCUUGUUUUUAACCAAGUGCUGAAACUUCUACAGUUCAAGCUGUUAAUUAGCUGAUGCUGCAUGGCCAGUAAUAAACAUCAAUAUGUCAGACUUUUAA